GUUUAACAAAAAUAGAAUACACAGUUAUAAGUGAAUCAGAAUUUAUUUCAAUUUCACGAAGGAGUUUCGGGGAUUACACGGUUCUCAUAAUGUAUCACCUUGCUGUGCAAAGGCUGCUUCCUGCUGCAGGGCGGUGUAGGGAAAGCUGCUUUUAUUCAUAUGAGGAGACUUUUGCAUCAGCAAAUGAACGAUAUUACAGCUCUUAUGCAUUAGCCUUUCGGUAGCUUGACACGGGAAAGAAGGAAUUAGAGCAGUGUGUUAAAGGACGAGGUCUGCUUUCUUGCAUCUCAAGCGGUGGUAGAUUUGCAGAAUAGGCCUGCGAAGCAAUGUGCAGAGCACGAUGUUCAUUUUCAUAUGUCAGUAUGCGUCUGCACUGGAGACUGUCUUUCAGGAUCAUUUAGAUGAAAAGAUUAUAGUCAGAGCUCUUCCUUCAAAAACACACGCUAAAAAUAGUGGCAGGUACAAGAGGGUUUUUCUUCAAAGGACACGGUUAGAGAUUGCCAGAGCGGUGAACAAAGCCGGUUCUCUUGAGACAAGGAGAUACGGCAUCCUCAUUUCUCAACACAGUGCAUAUUUAUGGAACAGCAACAUCAGAAGGCACUGUGGAAUUAGAACUCUGACCUCUGGCUUUAGGAGAAGGCUGGUCCUGCAGUAAGUAAGCCUGGUGCUGAUGGUUUCCGCAAGCUUAUAAACAAUGCUCCACAUCUUAACCUCCUUCCCUCUGUCCCUUGCAAAUAUAUGCCAUGGAUAUAUACGUGACAUGUCACCAAGCUAUUUUAAGUCUUUCGUGACACCAGCAGAGAGGAGGAGGAGGAAGUUUGGGCAAAUGUGGGGGUGUAUUUUAUUCAAAUUCAGUUUACAUAGCUCCCGUGAGAAUGACAUGCUGCCGUGAAGAAUGGACAACUCAGAACACCACUCCGAAGCCCUGGGAAAAAAGUUCAUCUCUACAUUUGACUCCAUGGUCCUGUACUGGUGAAUGUGGCACCGCUGGAGCGGUACUGCAGGAACCAUUGCUUUCCCAGAGCAGAUCACAAAAAGGUCUGCAGUGGUUCUUCUGAAGCAGUUUUUUAUGAAGGAGCAUUUGUAUGGACACCCGUGUUUUAGAUAAGAAACUGUGUGGUGAACACCACUGGGUAGUUAACAUGAAAAUGAUUCAUUCCCACAGCACUGGCAAGUGCAGAGAUUUCCAAGCCCAGGCCCAAGCACGGAGGUUUUUUAAGCCUUAUUGAAGAGAGUGGGAAGUCUGUUACAGAGAGUAAAAGGAAAGGCUCAUUCACCAAAUCUGGAUUGAGAAGGGCAGUAUGUAACUGUAGUAGCAGGGACUUCCCCCCAGACUCAUGGUAAGAGGCCUGGAAGUAUGAGAGCAUUACCAGAAAACUCUUGUGAGACAAGUCAAAGAGAAGAUGAGGAGUGAUAUGCCACUCUGCCCAAGUGUCUUUGCUGCAAGCAAGGAAAUGAUCUGAAUAGGUGUGAUCAAGGCUCUGAGUUGUUUGCGGAGCGGAUAAUAUAUAGGCGGAAGAAAAGACACGAUACAUCUUCAUCGGGAAAAACUUUACAUGUUGGCUCUUCACCUGUCAUUUAUUCAUCACAAUUCUGAGUUGUGCACUGCAGCUGAUGGACAUAACACACCCUGAGCUCCACUGUAAAAUGCAGUUCCUUCUGCCUGUGUAAGCUGAAUUCAAGACCCGG
ensembl:lncRNA